GGGCUUGUGGGGCAAGCCGGGAAGAGACCGCCUUUUCUAAGGCGGGCACAGCUUCACUAGGCACAGCAAUUAUUCUAAAAACAUCUGGAGCAUGAAAUUUUAAAACGCCAGAAUUACAGUGGAUCGAGAUGGAGCCUUGGAUAUUCUCUGCACAGUGCCACAGGAGAGGCCAGGGAGCUUUCCCAGGAGGGCUCCUUCUCCUACAAGGCCAAGCGGUUUGCCCCGCCCAGGGCAUGCCCCAUUUUCUUCCACCUCCGGGGUCUGCCUGGAAGCCCUCUCUGCCCCUCCAUCAUUUACCGGAUUCUGACUCAGCACCAUGCAUGCCUCCAUGAAAUUGCAAAAACCAAAAAGACACCAGGUCCAAC